CCUUACCCUAGAGGCCUUGCAGGUAUGGCUGCUGUGUCUACAGGUGGAGAGGAGAGAUGCUAUGUCUAUGUUCAGUGUUCUGACUUAGGAAUAUCGGAAUAUUGUCCUAACAUUCCCUA
rnacentral:snoRNA from 1 species